AAUGUUUGACGCCGUUGAUUUUUUAACACAUGUUUGACCGUUCGUCUUAUUUAAAAAAUUUAAGUAAUUAUUAAUUCUUUUUCUAUCAUUUGAUUCAUUGUUAAAUAUAUUUUUAUGUAGGCAUAUAAUUUUACAUAUUUCACAAAAAUUUUUAAAUAAGACAAAUGGUUAAACAUGUGCUAAAAAAUCAACGGUGUCAAACAUU
rnacentral:pre_miRNA from 1 species